rnacentral:rRNA from 1 species
AAUAUUGCGCAAUGGGGGAAACCCUGACGCAGCCACGCCGCGUGAGUGAAGAAGGCCUUCGGGUCGUAAAGCUCUGUCGGGAGAGACGAAGGGGUAAAACCCUGACGGUAUCUCGCAAGAAAGCACCGGCUAACUCUGUGCCAGCAGCCGCGGUAAUACAGAGGGUGCAAGCGUUGCUCGGAUUUACUGGGCGUAAAGCGUACGCAGACGGACCGUCAAGUCGGGAGUGAAAGCCCUGGGCUCAACCCAGGAACGGCUUUCGAUACUAGCGGUCUUGAGUUUGGGAGAGGGAAGCGGAAUUCCUGGUGUAGAGGUGAAAUUCGUAGAUAUCAGGAGGAACACCGGCGGCGAAGGCGGCUUCCUGGCCCAAUACUGACGUUCAGGUACGAAAGCGUGGGUAGCAAAC